AUUGAACGCUGGCGGCAGGCCCAACACAUGCAAGUCGAGCGGGGACUUCGGUCCUAGCGGCGAACGGGUGAGGAACGCUUGGGAAUCUGCCUGGUAGUGGGGGAUAACGUUUCGAAAGGAACGCUAAUACCGCAUACGUCCUACGGGAGAAAGGGGGGGAUCUUCGGACCUCUCGCUAUCAGAUGAGCCAAAGUCGGAUUAGCUAGUUGGUGAGGUAAGGGCUCACCAAGGCGACGAUCCGUAGCUGGUCUGAGAGGAUGAUCAGCCACACUGGAACUGAGACACGGUCCAGACUCCUACGGGAGGCAGCAGUGGGGAAUAUUGGACAAUGGGCGAAAGCCUGAUCCAGCCAUGCCGCGUGUGUGAAGAAGGCCUUCGGGUUGUAAAGCACUUUAAGCGAGGAGGAAUGGCUCUGGGUUAAUACCCUUGAGCAGUGACGUUACUCGCAGAAUAAGCACCGGCUAACUCUGUGCCAGCCGCCGCUGUAACAC
rnacentral:rRNA from 1 species